GCCGGAGGAGAGCCGCGUCUAAGCUGGGCCGGCCCCUAGGGGCUGUCGCCUUCCUGCUCCUCGCUCUCAGUCCCUUGGCCUGCGUGGUCGUGGUCAGGCCCGCUGCCACUGCUGCCCCUGCUUCUGUGCUGCCUGGGCAACAGGCUCUUCCACUGGGCCUUGUUGUGUGCGAGGUGGCCCAGCAUGUUCUCCGACAGGGUGCUGUUACCCGUGAAAUGGGCCCAUUCCCGGAAGAGCGGCUCCACGAUGUAGCUCAUGAAACCUAGAACAGCACUUCUCCUUCCUGUCACCAUGUGAAGGACGUGUUUGCUUACCCUUCUGCUAUGAUUGUAAGCUUCCUGAGGCCUCCCCAGCCCUGCAGAACUGUCAGUAUGAAAUAUAACUUAGAAUGAGUCAGACAUGUGUCUGUCUUUUGUAAAGUGGAAAUAGGGUGACUGUGAAAGUUAAGUGGAAAAGUGGAACUGGCUUCACUGCCCCGCAAGCACAUUCCAGGACAAACUUGCCAAAUACUGCAAGAAAAGAUGUUGCUGAUCACGGAUAGGAAAUACUCCAAGUCCCAGGAGAUAGUCUGUUCUUAGGAGACUUCCACACCAAGUCUGCUGACCAGAGAAGGACCACUCAACCACCACACUCUCCGCUGGAGCCCACUCAGCACCAGGAAGUAUUUGGGAGUUCUUCAUUCCAGACAUCUGUGCCAACAUGGCACUUGGGAUUCUUUUAAACUCCAAGUGUUGUUCAUUUUUUGUUUGUUUUUCAGGAAGGAAACAGAUGGCAAAACCUAGACUUGGUAGGGAAGUGAUUGAAUUGAUUAUAUUAUACCC
rnacentral:antisense_RNA from 1 species